ensembl:lncRNA
AAACAACUGGCAGCGGAGGGGUGAACCUCUUUGGGCUGCUGAGCUGUGUGCUGAACCAUAAGGAAGGUGGCUGUAAUGGUGUGCCGUGCAGAUGUCGUGUGCCCAGCAGUCGGGCCGAUGAAGAGCAACAAGUGAAGCGCCAGUGGCUCAGAUGGCUUCUCGCCUCCUGCCUCUUUCCUUGCCAUGGCCUUGAGGCUUUUCCUCAGCUGGCUGGCUGAUCCGUCCCCGGCGGCUGCCCUUUCCUCCUGCCAGGCACACAUGUCUCUCUCGUCGUGUAGAUCUGAGGAUGACCAAAGCCUGUCGCCCCAAGCAUUGCUGAACCCAUCAAAAUGGUUGCUCAGAGGCCUGCUGGUGCUGGAAGUGGACGGUAUCCCAGCAUGACUGAAGGAGCAGCUGCUGAUGGGAGGCAGGAAGUCCAGGCUCAUGAACGCUGAGGCAUCUGCCAGUACGGUACCAGAGGAGGCAGUAGUGACGUUGGGGGGCAGUUGCAGAAGAAGAUGAGGAGCUCCCCAGCAGGAAGCCACAAACCCGGCAGAAACCUGCAGGAGAAUCGCAGCAUGUAAGCGGCGCGGCGCGGUUCCCCGCGGUUGGGAGCAGCAGCCAGCAGGCUGCCAGAGAUCCAACCGCGCCUUGCAGCGCACAGAGGGACGCAACAGGGACGGACCGUCCUUCCUGCUGUGCAAAAGUGAGUUUCUU